AGAGUUUGAUCAUGGCUCAGAUUGAACGCUGGCGGCGUGCCUAACACAUGCAAGUCGAGCGGUAACAGGUGUAGCAAUACAUGCUGACGAGCGGCGAACGGGUGAGUAAUGCUUCGGAAUCUACCCAAUGGCGGGGAAUAACUAGCCGAAAGGUUAGCUAAUACCGCAUAAGCCCUACGGGGGAAAGCAGGGGAUCGUAAGACCUUGCACCGAUGGAUGAGCCGAAGCCGGAUUAGCUAGUUGGUAGGGUAACGGCCUACCAAGGCGACGAUCCGUAGCUGGUCUGAGAGGACGACCAGCCACACUGGGACUGAGACACGGCCCAGACUCCUACGGGAGGCAGCAGUGGGGAAUAUUGGACAAUGGGGGCAACCCUGAUCCAGCGACGCCGCGUGUGUGAAGAAGGCCUGCGGGUUGUAAAGCACUUUUAGUGGGGAUGAAAAGUUCAGGGCUAAUACCUCUGGAUCUUGACCUAACCCAAAGAAAAAGCACCGGCUAACUCUGUGCCAGCAGCCGCGGUAAUACAGAGGGUGCAAGCGUUAAUCGGAAUUACUGGGCGUAAAGCGUGCGUAGACGGUUAUGUAAGUCGGGUGUGAAAGCCCCGGGCUCAACCUGGGAAUUGCAUUCGAGACUGUGUAGCUAGGGUACGGAAGAGGGAAGCGGAAUUUCAGGUGUAGCGGUGAAAUGCGUAGAUAUCUGAAGGAACACCAGUGGCGAAAGCGGCUUCCUGGUCCAGUACCGACGUUCAGGCACGAAAGCGUGGGGAGCAAACAGGAUUAGAUACCCUAGUAGUCC
rnacentral:rRNA from 1 species